GACGCCCCGCGGCGGCGGGAAGCGCGGGGCCGGCGGCGCGGGGUGCCGGAGAGGCGGCGGCCGCCGAUGCACACGCAGCGCGGUGCCUCUGGUUAGUGUCACAGCUUCAGUUUGAAAAGUGACAACAAACAAUACUGACACAAAUUGUACAAGGACAUCCAUGUGGAGGACAAAACAUGGAGAUUCAUGCACUGCUUUAGGUAUGAUAGCUGGAUAUAAAGGAAAAGUUGUUGGAGGCAUUUCUGUUAGAUUAAGCUGUGAUGAAAGUAAGACAUAAUUAUAACUUGGGCAUCCUCUCCCAUGUUAUUUACCCUAAAACACACCUACUUAGUCUGCUAAAACAUAAGCUCCAAACCUGUUCAUUCCCAACCAAGAACCCACUUCUAAAAGCAAGCAGAAAAAUCCUAGGGAAGUUCACACACAACACAUACUCUUCACCUUUAGCACAAACUAGCUUGUGAAAUGAAGUAAUAGUUAAUAAAUCACAUA